GAUUAACGCUAGCGGCAGGCCUAAUACAUGCAAGUCGAGGGGCAGCAGGGUGUAGCAAUACAUCGCUGGCGACCGGCGCACGGGUGCGUAAUACAUCGGAACGUGCCCAAUCGUGGGGGAUAACGUAGCGAAAGUUACGCUAAUACCGCAUACGAUCUACGGAUGAAAGCGGGGGAUCGCAAGACCUCGCGCGAAUGGAGCGGCCGAUGUCAGAUUAGGUAGUUGGUGAGGUAACGGCUCACCAAGGCGAUGAUCGGUAGCUGGUCUGAGAGGACGAUCAGCCACACGGGAACUGAGACACGGACCCGACUCCUACGGGAGGCAGCAGUAAGGAAUAUUGGUCAAUGGAGGAAACUCUGAACCAGCUAUCCCGCGUGAAGGAUGAAGGGGCUCUGCCUUGUAAACUUCUUUUGUCUGGGGCGAAAAAGACUCGUUUACGAGUAACUGACGGUACCAGAAGAAUAAGCACCGGCUAACUCCGUGCCAGCAGCCGCGGU
rnacentral:rRNA from 1 species